GACGAACGCUGGCGGCGUGCUUAACACAUGCAAGUCGAACGGAAAGGCCCUGCUUUUGUGGGGUGCUCGAGUGGCGAACGGGUGAGUAACACGUGAGUAACCUGCCCUUGACUUUGGGAUAACUUCAGGAAACUGGGGCUAAUACCGGAUAGGAGCUCCUGCUGCAUGGUGGGGGUUGGAAAGUUUCGGCGGUUGGGGAUGGACUCGCGGCUUAUCAGCUUGUUGGUUGGGUAGUGGCUUACCAAGGCUUUGACGGGUAGCCGGCCUGAGAGGGUGACCGGCCACAUUGGGACUGUGAUACGGCCCAGACUCCUACGGGAGGCAGCAGUGGGGAAUAUUGCACAAUGGGGGGAAGCCUGAUGCAGCAACGCCGCGUGCGGGAUGACGGCCUUCGGGUUGUAAACCGCUUUCGCCUGUGACGAAGCGUGAGUGACGGUAAUGGGUAAAGAAGCACCGGCUAACUACGUG
rnacentral:rRNA from 1 species